rnacentral:rRNA from 1 species
GAUGAACGCUGGCGGCGUGCCUAAUACAUGCAAGUAGAACGCUGAAGGAGGAGCUUGCUCUUCUGGAUGAAUUGCGAGCGGGUGAGUAACGCGUAGGUAACCUGCCUGGUAGCGGGGGAUAACUAUUGGAAACGAUAGCUAAUACCGCAUGACAACAGUUAUUGCAUGAUAACUGUUUAAAAGGGGCAACUGCUCCACUACCAGAUGGACCUGCGUUGUAUUAGCUAGUUGGUGAGGUAACGGCUCACCAAGGCGACGAUACAUAGCCGACCUGAGAGGGUGAUCGGCCACACUGGGACUGAGACACGGCCCAGACUCCUACGGGAGGCAGCAGUAGGGAAUCUUCGGCAAUAGACGGAAGUCUGACCGAGCAACGCCGCGUGAGUGAAGAAGGUUUUCGGAUCGUAAAGCUCUGUUGUAAGAGAAGAACGAGUGUGAGAGUGGAAAGUUCACACUGUGACGGUAUCUUACCAGAAAGGGACGGCUAACUACGUG